rnacentral:rRNA from 1 species
UACGGAGGGAGCUAGCGUUGUUCGGAAUUACUGGGCGUAAAGGGCGCGCAGGCGGCCUUAGAAGUCAGAUGUGAAAGCCCCGGGCUCAACCUGGGAAUGGCAUUUGAUACUCUGAGGCUGGAGUACGGGAGAGGAGAGUGGAAUUCCCAGUGUAGAGGUGAAAUUCGUAGAUAUUGGGAAGAACACCGGUGGCGAAGGCGGCUCUCUGGACCGUAACUGACGCUGAGGCGCGAAAGCGUGGGGAGCAAACAGG